CUUGAGUUAUAGUGAAGUUGCCGGAAUAUGUAGUGUAGCGGUGAAAUGCAUAGAUAUUACAUAGAACACCGAUUGCGAAGGCAGGUGACUAACUGUAUACUGACGCUGAUGGACGAAAGCGUGGGGAGCGAACAGGAUUAGAUACCCUGGUAGUCCACGCCGUAAACGAUGGAUACUAGCUGUCCGGGUCCUUGAGACCUGGGCGGCCAAGCGAAAGUGAUAAGUAUCCCACCUGGGGAGUACGUUCGCAAGAAUGAAACUCAAAGGAAUUGACGGGGGCCCGCACAAGCGGUGGAGCAUGUGGUUUAAUUCGAUGAUACGCGAGGAACCUUACCAGGGCUUAAAUGCAUAUUGACAGGGGUAGAGAUACCUUUUCCUUCGGGCAAUUUGCAAGGUGCUGCAUGGUUGUCGUCAGCUCGUGCCGUGAGGUGUCAGGUUAAGUCCUAUAACGAGCGCAACCCCUACCGUUAGUUGCCAGCAUGUCAUGAUGGGGACUCUAACGGGACUGCCGGUGCAAACCGUGAGGAAGGUGGGGAUGACGUCAAAUCAUCACGGCCCUUACGUCCUGGGCCACACACGUGCUACAAUGGUAGGUACAGAGAGCAGCCAUGUCGCAAGGCAGAGCGAAUCUAUAAAACCUAUCACAGUUCGGAUCGGAGUCUGCAACUC
rnacentral:rRNA from 1 species